AUAUAUUUAGGAAAUGAAGUUCUUCCCAAAAUUUAUAUUUUAAACCGCUAUAAGCUAAUGACUUCUGCACUUGC
rnacentral:ncRNA from 2 species